rnacentral:tRNA from 1 species
GGGGCUGUAGCUCAGUGGCAGAGCACUUGCCUAGCAUGUGUGAGGCACUGGGUUCAAUCCCCAGCAGCACCA